AUGGGGUACAUGAUGCCUAGUGCUAGCCACAGUGAUGGUGGUCAGAGUGGUGUCAUACAACUCACGAGGCUUGCGCCUAGGACAGACUGCUGGGGACAGAGCGCAUCGUGUUAUUGUUGACCAGCUACUGGAGACCACAGACAUUCUCUGCCUGCAAGAGACAUUUUUAGCCAAACAGGACCUUGAUAAACUUAAUUCUGUCCACAUUGAUUUCCAUGGAGCAGGAGAGUCCACAACAGAUUUAAGCAUUAGAAUGGUAUGUGGUAGAAUACCUGGAGGUGUGGCCAUUCUGUGGCGCAAGAAAUAUGACCCAAUGAUCAGUAUUAUUAGAUUAGAGGUGGACUGGUGUAUUGCGAUUAAAGUUAUGCAUGAUAUGAAUGUUUUUAUCAUUUUAAAUGUUUAUACCCCAUAUGAUUGCUAUAAAAAUGAAGAUGAAUAUAUGAACAGAUUGGCAUUUUUAAACUCUUACAUUAAGGAAUGUACAUAUGCAAAUAUAUUUGUGAUGGGUGAUUUAAAUGCAGACAUCUCUGAUGACAAAUCUCUCUUUGGUCAGCACUUGAUGCAGUUCUGUCAUGACAGUAAACUGGUUCUUUCCAGCAUGAAAUUUCUGCCUGUAGAUAGUUAUACUUACAUCAGUGAAGCAUGGCACACAACAUCCUGGCUGGAUCAUGUAAUCUGUACAUCUGAUACUCAUGAUAGUCUGGAAACAGUUGAAAUUAUGUAUGGGUUGACUACCACUGAUCAUUUACCUGUCUCUAUGACGAUAAAUGUUGAUAACCUACCUGACUGCAGCAGAUCGACAGAAGAUGGCGCCAAUGGGGUCAAAGUGAAUUGGGCUAAACAAUCUAAAGAGGAUGUCAUGUUUUAUUGUGGGAGGACAGAUGUUCUCUUAAGGGAAGUACAGCUACCCAUGGAUGUUAUCUUAUGUUCAAAUAUUAACUGUGAUGAUGACACUCACUGUAAUGACCUAUGUGAAAUGUACAAUAGUAUAGUGAGUGCUAUAUAUGAGGCCAGUAGACCUCUACACACUCACUCCAGAAAGGUUAAGAAUACCAAGCCUGGUUGGACAAAGUAUGUAGCUGCCCAUCAAGAAGCCGCUAAGACAGCUCAUAGAGCCUGGGUUAUAGCUGGUAGACCCAGACAGGGGCCAGAAUUAGAGCAUAAGAAACUUACAAAUGCUAGAUACAAAUAUGCAGUGUGCUUUGUUGGGAAGCAUGAGCAAGCCUUAAGAGCUCAUUCUAUGGCUGAAAACUUGCUUGGUAACAAUGUCACUGAGUUCUGCAAAGAAGUAAAAGCUACAAAUAGGGCCAAAGCAGUACUGCCUUGCCACAUUGAAGGGGUAUCUGGUGGAGACAAUAUAGCAGAGCAGUGGAGGCUGCACUACGCAGCUCUGUUUAAUUGUAUUAAAAGUGAGCUUUAUUGUGUGGGGAAGUUAAAGGAGGAAGUGAUUAAUUUUAC
ensembl:lncRNA